GGCAGCCACAGGCCUCACCCAGCUCCCACGCAGCCGGCAGCCUGAAGGGCCAGUCUCACUUCCACCAUGUCCCCGCAACAGCACGGAGUGUAUUUUCAGGCAGCCGGUGAGUAGGGCUACAAGCCUCCAGCUGAGAAAGCGAAGCCAACUCACAGUUCCUCGGCUGUCCCGCGGAGCCUGCGGUGGCAAACCACCUCCUUCAGAAGGGUCUGUGGAUUCUCCUGGCUUUUCUGUUUUCCUUAAGAAACAAUGUCAUACAUGAUGGCUUAGUGUACUGGUCAAUCCAGGGAAACUGAUUUAAUCCAUAAUAUGACAUUUGGGAUAAUAUUGGACUAGACCAACAUAUAUUGGGACCAUCAUAUAUUUACAAUGCUUAUUAAAAAGAUAUCUAUUUAAGGUAAGUUCCUGAAAAAUGAAAAAUAAUAGUAUGCUGAGCAAACAAUAUGCUACAACAGUUAGAAGUCCAAAAGAAACCAACAACCGAAACCAAAUUGAACAAAUAGGUGUGAAGAAUUCGAUGGGAAAGAAUAGUGAGAAAUGGUGCGGUUGGUUUCUGACUUUAAGUCACGUUGAUUUUUUUCUACAAGCACCAUUUACAUUUGGGAGGCAAGUCCCUAGGACCCAGGAAAUGGGAGCUUCUGAAACCACAGGAUCUGCUCACGGCUUCCAAACACUCUCUGCAGACAAUAUGACCACGUCCAUGUCCUCCUCUGGCUCCUGUGAGGCCCUUUUCAUGGACCCCAGGCCCUUUCCUGUUUCUCCCAGAGGAGGAAGUCCAAAGCAGGGUCUGCAUCUCCCUCGUCUUUGCAAGUCCCACAACAGCUCUCCUGGACAGUGUCUAAACUAAAACUUCUUGGCUGUUUAGUCUGGUUAUACAUGUUACAAAUUCCCCAUUUCCUGUGGGGUUCACAGAGAGCUACAAAAUUAUAAUAAAACUUCAACAGAAAUUUCUGACUCCCCUUGCCGGAGUUCUGCUGCUCCCGAACACAUGCCCUGAGGCAGCGUGCCUGCACAACCAGCUUCUAUCUGAAUGCUUCAGACAUGCGCUGCAUUCAGGCAGGGACUUUUCUUGGACAGAGAAGCUGAGAAGUAUCAGAUAAAGAUGACCUGCAUGUACUGGAAAAUAAUCUGUGGUUUAUAUGUAGGCGGAUGGAAGCAAAUCAGGAACAAAAGAAGAAUUUGUAGUUCACAGCCACAUGAGAUAGUCAAGUGUUAAAAGGGAAAAAGAGCUAUCGAAGUCAGGAAGCAAAAUGCCUUCAGAGAUAAAAGGUUAUUCGUGGCUGAGUGAAAAAAAUGGACAAUGAGCAGAAAAUAAUUUAUACUACAAAGUCUUUAGACAUCAUUUACUUGGAGAACUGAACACUAUUUUAAAAUAAGAAUAACUGGAGUUGCAAGAAACGGAAACAACCCACAGAGCACUGUCAUAGCCAGCUGGCGCUUCAUUACAUCUUUCCACAAUUACUUAGAAUUCGCUGGAUGAAACAUUUGCUACAAAUCAUUGCUAAUGCAGCAUCUUAAAUAACCUCAAAAUGAGCCGGUAAAUUUCUAUUAAACUGCCUUAAUGAACAAUUUAAGAAAUAAAAUACUCCACUAUGUUAUAAUGCAUUUUUUCUCCCUCUUCACAUGUUAUUUAUGUUGUUGAUUUUUUUUGUAGU
rnacentral:lncRNA from 1 species